UGACAGGCGUAAACGUAAGAG
ensembl:piRNA 21ur-4062 ncRNA